rnacentral:tRNA from 1 species
GCCGGGGUGGCGGAAUUGGUAGACGCGCAGUCUUGAGGAGGCUGUUCCCUUUGGGAGUGGAGGUUCAAGUCCUCUCCCCGGCA